AUGGCCGAAGCUGAGUUCAACCGAAAAACCUCUGUCCAGGAACCUUCUGUCUACCCCUUGAAGCCCUGUAAUGCAGGCACGGCCCCUGUGACACUGGGCUGCCUGAUAAAGGACUACUUCCCUGACCCGGUGAAUGUGAUCUGGCAUUCAAACGCCCCGAACAUGAGCACCGUGAACUUCCCUGCCCUCGGCUCUGAACUCAAGGUCACCACCAGCCAAGUGACCACCAAGAGCAAGUCAGCCAAGACUUUCACUUGCCAGGUGAUACAUGCCCCAUCCGGAUUCAACAGCAAUAAGACGAUCAAAGCAUCACCUGUCAAUAUCACCCAGCCCACCUUGAAGCUACUCCACUCAUCCUGCAACCCCAAAGCGUUCCACUCCACCAUACAGCUCUACUGCUUCGUUUAUGGCCAUGCCCCAGAUGAUGUCACCAUCACCUGGCUAAAGGAUGGACAGCAGAUGCCUAAUGCAUCACCAAGUGUUAUCCCAAUCAAGAAGGAGGGUAAGCUAGCCUCGACCUACAGUGAACUCAACAUCACCAUGGAGCAAUGGAUGUCUGAGAGCACCUUCUCCUGCAAGGUCACCUCCCAAGAUGAGGACUAUGAGAUCCAUACCCAGAAGUGCCAAGAAUAUGAGCCACGUGGUGUGAAUACCUACUUAAUCCCACCCAGCCCCCUGGACCUGUAUGUAGGAAAGGCUCCCAAGCUUACCUGUCUGGUGGUGGACCUGGAAAGCAAGGAGAAUGUCACUGUGACAUGGACCCAAGAGCAUAGGAAUCCUGCAGGCUUAGCAUCCCAGAGUUCUACCAGGCACCACAACGCAACAACCAGUAUCACUUCCAUCCUGCCAGUGGAUGCCAAGGACUGGAUUGAAGGUGAAGGCUAUAGGUGCAGCGUGAACCACCCUCAGCUGCCCAGGCCCAUUGUGCGCGCCAUCACCAAGGCCCAGGGCCAGCGCUCAGCCCCGGAGGUGUAUGUGUUCCCGCCACCACCAGAGGAGGAGAACAAGGACAAACGCACACUCACCUGCCUGAUCCAGAACUUCUUCCCUGAGGAUAUCUCAGUGCGGUGGCUGCAAGAUGAGAUACUGAUCCCAAACACACAUCACAGAACCACAGCACCUCUGAAGUCCAACGGCCCUGGUCAAGGCUUCUUCAUCUUCAGCCGCCUAGAGGUCACCAAGGCACACUGGGCACAGAAUAAAAAAUUCACCUGCCAAGUGAUCCAUGAGGCACUGCCAGAACCUAGGACGCUGAAGAAAACAAUAUCCAAGAUCCCUGAGCUAGACCUCGAGGACCUAUGUGCAGAAGAGGCCGAGAGUGAGGAGCUGGAAGAACUGUGGACCAGUAUCUACGUCUUCAUCACCCUGUUCCUGCUCAGCGUGAGCUAUGGGGCCACUGUCACCCUCCUGAAGGUGGAGUCCUGCACCUCAGUGGAGUCCCAGAGAAGUCCCACCAUCUACCCACUGAGCCUCCCACGAUCUAUGUCAAAGGACCCAGUGAUAGUCGGCUGCCUGAUUCAGAAUUACUUCCCAUCCGGACCUAUCAAUGUGACCUGGGGCAAGAGUGGACAGACCAUAAACUUCCCACCUGCCCAGACCUCUGAGGGCAGGUACACCAUGAGCAGCCAGUUGACCCUGCCAGCUGCCAAGUGUCCAGAUGAUGAAUCUGUGACAUGCUCUGUGGAACAUGCCUCUAACCCCGCCCAAAAUGUGGACGUGCCCUGCACAAUAGAACCACCUCCACCUCCUCCUUUUUCUCCCACCUGCCAACCCCGCCUGACACUGCACCGGCCAGCUCUUGAGGACCUGCUCCUGGGAUCAGAUGCCAGCCUCACAUGUACACUGAGCGGCCUGAGAAAGCCCGAGGGAGCCACUUUCACCUGGAAGCCCACCACUGGGAAGGACGCAGUGACCAAGGAACCUGUGAUGGACUCCUGCGGCUGCUAUAGUGUGUCUAGCAUCCUGCCUGGCUGUGCUGAGCGCUGGAACAAUGGGGAGACCUUCACAUGCACAGCUACCCACUCCGAGUCUGGGACCCUAACUGCCACAAUUGCCAAAGUCAUAGAGAACACCUUCCCACCCCAGGUCCACCUGCUGCCGCCGCCGUCGGAGGAGCUGGCCCUGAAUGAGCUGGUGUCCCUGACAUGCCUGGUGCGAGGAUUCAGCCCUAAAGAUGUGCUGGUGCGUUGGCUGCAUGGAAACCAGGAGCUGCCUCGUGAUAACUACCUAGUGUGGGAAUCCCAGAAGGAGCCAAGCGAGGGUGCCACCACCUACGCGAUGACAAGUGUGCUGCGUGUGUCAGCCGAAGCCUGGAAACAGGGUGACAAUUAUUCCUGCAUGGUUGGCCAUGAGGCUUUGCCCCUGGGCUUCACCCAGAAGACCAUCGACCGUCUGUCGGGUAAACCCACCCAAGUCAACGUGUCUGUGAUCAUGUCAGAGGGAGAUGGCGUCUGCUACUGA